UACGGAGGGUGCAAGCGUUAUCCGGAUUCACUGGGUUUAAAGGGUGCGUAGGUGGGCAAGUAAGUCAGUGGUGAAAUCUCCGGGCUUAACCCGGAAACUGCCAUUGAUACUAUUUGUCUUGAAUACUGUGGAGGUCAGCGGAAUAUGUCAUGUAGCGGUGAAAUGCUUAGAUAUCAGGUGGAACACCAGUGGCGAAGGCGGUGUUCUGGGCCAGUACUGACGCUGAGGCGCGAAAGCGUGGGGAGCGAACAGG
rnacentral:rRNA from 1 species